rnacentral:ncRNA from 2 species
CUUUUGCCUCAUAGUGCCGGUCCAUUUUUGGAUAAUAGGGAAUGCUGUGAAAAUCAGCUACAGUUCCCGCUGCUGUGAACUCGUUAUUUUCUACCUCUAAACCACUGAUAUUCAUUAAUGUUGGGAAGGUUGGCAGAUGAAGAGUAAGUCAGAAGACCUGCCGACAUUGAUAUUUCAUU